UAUAAAGUAAGCUAAAAAAGCUAGUGGGUUCAUACCCCAAAUAUGAUUAUUGUCCUUUAUUAA
rnacentral:tRNA from 1 species